rnacentral:rRNA from 1 species
GAUGAACGCUGGCGGCGUGCCUAAUACAUGCAAGUCGAGCGAACAGACGAGGAGCUUGCUCCUCUGACGUUAGCGGCGGACGGGUGAGUAACACGUGGAUAACCUACCUAUAAGACUGGGAUAACUUCGGGAAACCGGAGCUAAUACCGGAUAAUAUAUUGAACCGCAUGGUUCAAUAGUGAAAGACGGUUUUGCUGUCACUUAUAGAUGGAUCCGCGCCGCAUUAGCUAGUUGGUAAGGUAACGGCUUACCAAGGCAACGAUGCGUAGCCGACCUGAGAGGGGGAUCGGCCACACUGGAACGGAGACACGGUCCAGACUCCUACGGGAGGCAGCAGUAGGGAAUCUUCCGCAAUGGGCGAAAGCCUGACGGAGCAACGCCGCGUGAGUGGUGAAGGUCUUCGGAUCGUAAAACUCUGUUAUUAGGGAAGAACAAAUGUGUAAGUAACUAUGCACGUCUUGACGGUACCUAAUCAGAAAGCCACGGCUAACUACGUG